UACGGAGGGUGCAAGCGUUGUUCGGAAUCACUGGGCGUAAAGGGCGUGUAGGCGGCCUGUUAAGUCUGAUGUGAAAUCCCCUCGCUCAACGAGGGAACUGCGUCGGAAACUGGCAGGCUUGAGUACCGGAGAGGAAGGUGGAAUUCCCGGUGUAGCGGUGAAAUGCGUAGAUAUCUGGAGGAAUACCGGUGGCGAAGGCGGCGUUCUGGACUGCAACUGACACUGAGGAACGAAAGCCAGGGGAGCAAACGGG
rnacentral:rRNA from 1 species